UACGUAGGGGGCUAGCGUUGUCCGGAUUUAUUGGGCGUAAAGAGCGUGUAGGCGGCCAGGUAGGUCCGGUGUGAAAACUCGAGGCUUAACCUCGAGAUGUCAUCGGAAACCAUCUGGCUAGAGUCCGGAAGAGGAAAGUGGAAUUCCUGGUGUAGCGGUGAAAUGCGUAGAUAUCGAGAGGAACACCUGCGGCGAAGGCGGGUUGCUGGGCCGACACUGACGCUGAUGCGCGAAAGCCAGGGGAGCGAACGGG
rnacentral:rRNA from 1 species